AAUCAACGCUGGCGGCGUGCCUAACACAUGCAAGUCGAACGCGAAAGCCCUUUCGGGGGUUAGUAGAGUGGCGUCCGGGUGAGUAACACGUAGGUAAUCUACCUCUGGGUGGGGAAUAACUCGUCGAAAGGCGAGCUAAUACCGCAUAAUGCAGCGGCACCGAAUGGUGAUUAGUUGUUAAAGCGGGGGACCGAAAGGCCUCGCGCCUAGAGAGGAGCCUGCGGCAGAUUAGCUUGUUGGGAGGUAAUGGCUCACCAAGGCUUCGAUCUGUAGCUGGUCUGAGAGGACGGCCAGCCACACUGGCACUGACACACGGGCCAGACUCCUACGGGAGGCAGCAGUGGGGAAUUUUGGGCAAUGGGCGAAAGCCUGACCCAGCAACGCCGCGUGAGGGAGGAAAUCCUUCGGGAUGUAACCUCACAAGAAAGGGAAGAGCGCUGAAGGGNUAAUACCCUUUCAGCUCGACGGUACCUUUUGUAAGCCACGGCUAACUACGUGCCAGCCGCCGCCGUAA
rnacentral:rRNA from 1 species